ACUCCUUUCACAAACAUUCUCCAAGGGACCACCUUGUCUCUUGGAUGUCAGUGUUGCUGUUGGAGAGAGCAUGACACCCCAAGUGUCCACCCUGACCUGUCAUGUGGCCUUCAGUACUGGUCACUGGGGGUUUCCUU
rnacentral:snoRNA from 1 species